CAGGGAUGCGGCUCACUUGGCAAUGCUCUGCCCCAGGGGGUGCUCGAGUCCUAUCGCCCUGCCGCUGGCCCGGAGUCAGCCUGGGCUGUCCUGAAAGCAGCUCCCCAGUCCGCACUUCUUUCUCCUUCGGGGUUUGGGUGUGUCUGUGGGCUUUGUUUUCCAGGCAGGUCCCCGGCUGUCAUGUGCCCCUUAUCGGAGUGACAUGGGGAGGUUAGCCAGCCUCCUUGGGCCUUGUUUGGGGCCAGACUACAUCUACUUUGCGGUGAGGAUUUACUGAGGCAGCCUGUAAAAGGCCCCUUCCCAGUGCCUAGUUCAGAGCAGAGA
rnacentral:lncRNA from 1 species